rnacentral:tRNA from 1 species
GGGGAUGUAGCUCAGUGGCACAGCACCUGCCUCGAAAGUGCAAGGUCCUAAGUUUGAGUCCUAGUACCCCCC